AUUGAACGCUGGCGGCAGGCCUAACACAUGCAAGUCGAGCGAGCGGCGGACGGGUGAGUAAUGUCUGGGAAACUGCCUGAUGGAGGGGGAUAACUACUGGAAACGGUAGCUAAUACCGCAUACCAUCAGAUGUGCCCAGAUGGGAUUAGCUAGUAGGUGGGGUAACGGCUCACCUAGGCGACGAUCCCUAGCUGGUCUGAGAGGAUGACCAGCGACACUGGAGGUGAGACACGGUCCAGAGUCCUACGGGAGGCAGCAGUGGGGAAUAUUGCACAAUGGGCGAAAGCCUGACGCAGCCAUGCCGGGUGUGUGAAGACGACCUUCGGGUUGUAAAGCACUUUCAGCGGGUAGGCGUUACCCGCAGAAGAAGCACCGGCUAACUCCGUGCCAGCAGCCGCGGUAAUUC
rnacentral:rRNA from 1 species